rnacentral:rRNA from 1 species
AUUGAACGCUGGCGGCAUGCUUUACACAUGCAAGUCGAACGGUAACAGGGAGCUUGCUCCGCUGACGAGUGGCGAACGGGUGAGUAAUGCAUCGGAACGUACCCAGUCGUGGGGGAUAACGUAGCGAAAGUUACGCUAAUACCGCAUAAGCCCUGAGGGGGGAAAGUGGGGGACCGCAAGGCCUCACGCGAAUGGAGCGGCCGAUGUCAGAUUAGCUAGUUGGUGGGGUAAAGGCCCACCAAGGCGACGAUCUGUAGCGGGUCUGAGAGGAUGAUCCGCCACACUGGGACUGAGACACGGCCCAGACUCCUACGGGAGGCAGCAGUGGGGAAUUUUGGACAAUGGGCGCAAGCCUGAUCCAGCCAUGCCGCGUGCGGGACGAAGGCCU